UACGGAGGGAGCUAGCGUUGUUCGGAAUUACUGGGCGUAAAGCGUACGUAGGCGGCUAUUCAAGUCAGAGGUGAAAGCCCGGGGCUCAACCCCCGGAACUGCCUUUGAAACUAGGUAGCUAGAGUCUUGGAGAGGUUAGUGGAAUUCCGAGUGUAGAGGUGAAAUUCGUAGAUAUUCGGAAGAACACCAGUGGCGAAGGCGACUAACUGGACAAGUACUGACGCUGAGGUACGAAAGCGUGGGGAGCAAACAGG
rnacentral:rRNA from 1 species